GAAGCUGCGGCAGCGACACUGUGUGUUGUUGGGUAGGGGAGCGUUCUGUAAGCCUGUGAAGGUGUGCUGUGAGGCAUGCUGGAGGUAUCAGAAGUGCGAAUGCUGACAUAAGUAACGAUAAAGCGGGUGAAAAGCCCGCUCGCCGGAAGACCAAGGGUUCCUGUCCAACGUUAAUCGGGGCAGGGUGAGUCGACCCCUAAGGCGAGGCCGAAAGGCGUAGUCGAUGGGAAACAGGUUAAUAUUCCUGUACUUGGUGUUACUGCGAAGGGGGGACGGAGAAGGCUAUGUUGGCCGGGCGACGGUUGUCCCGGUUUAAGCGUGUAGGCUGGUUUUCCAGGCAAAUCCGGAAAAUCAAGGCUGAGGCGUGAUGACGAGGCACUACGGUGCUGAAGCAACAAAUGCCCUGCUUCCAGGAAAAGCCUCUAAGCAUCAGGUAACAUCAAAUCGUACCCCAAACCGACACAGGUGGUCAGGUAGAGAAUACCAAGGCGCUUGAGAGAACUCGGGUGAAGGAACUAGGCAAAAUGGUGCCGUAACUUCGGGAGAAGGCACGCUGAUAUGUAGGUGAAGUCCCUCGCGGAUGGAGCUGAAAUCAGUCGAAGAUACCAGCUGGCUGCAACUGUUUAUUAAAAACACAGCACUGUGCAAACACGAAAGUGGACGUAUACGGUGUGACGCCUGCCCGGUGCCGGAAGGUUAAUUGAUGGGGUCAGCGCAAGCGAAGCUCUUGAUCGAAGCCCCGGUAAACGGCGGCCGUAACUAUAACGGUCCUAAGGUAGCGAAAUUCCUUGUCGGGUAAGUUCCGACCUGCACGAAUGGCGUAAUGAUGGCCAGGCUGUCUCCACCCGAGACUCAGUGAAAUUGAACUCGCUGUGAAGAUGCAGUGUACCCGCGGCAAGACGGAAAGACCCCGUGAACCUUUACUAUAGCUUGACACUGAACAUUGAGCCUUGAUGUGUAGGAUAGGUGGGAGGCUUUGAAGUGUGGACGCCAGUCUGCAUGGAGCCGACCUUGAAAUACCACCCUUUAAUGUUUGAUGUUCUAACGUGGACCCGUGAUCCGGGUUGCGGACAGUGUCUGGUGGGUAGUUUGACUGGGGCGGUCUCCUCCUAAAGAGUAACGGAGGAGCACGAAGGUUGGCUAAUCCUGGUCGGACAUCAGGAGGUUAGUGCAAUGGCAUAAGCCAGCUUGACUGCGAGCGUGACGGCGCGAGCAGGUGCGAAAGCAGGUCAUAGUGAUCCGGUGGUUCUGAAUGGAAGGGCCAUCGCUCAACGGAUAAAAGGUACUCCGGGGAUAACAGGCUGAUACCGCCCAAGAGUUCAUAUCGACGGCGGUGUUUGGCACCUCGAUGUCGGCUCAUCACAUCCUGGGGCUGAAGUAGGUCCCAAGGGUAUGGCUGUUCGCCAUUUAAAGUGGUACGCGAGCUGGGUUUAGAACGUCGUGAGACAGUUCGGUCCCUAUCUGCCGUGGGCGCUGGAGAACUGAGGGGGGCUGCUCCUAGUACGAGAGGACCGGAGUGGACGCAUCACUGGUGUUCGGGUUGUCAUGCCAAUGGCACUGCCCGGUAGCUAAAUGCGGAAGAGAUAAGUGCUGAAAGCAUCUAAGCACGAAACUUGCCCCGAGAUGAGUUCUCCCUGACCCUUUAAGGGUCCUGAAGGAACGUUGAAGACGACGACGUUGAUAGGCCGGGUGUGUAAGCGCAGCGAUGCGUUGAGCUAACCGGUACUAAUGAACCGUGAGGCUUAACCUU
rnacentral:rRNA from 1 species